rnacentral:rRNA from 1 species
UGCGUACCUUUUGUAUAAUGGGUCAGCGACUUAUAUUCUGUAGCAAGGUUAACCGAAUAGGGGAGCCGAAGGGAAACCGAGUCUUAACUGGGCGUUAAGUUGCAGGGUAUAGACCCGAAACCCGGUGAUCUAGCCAUGGGCAGGUUGAAGGUUGGGUAACACUAACUGGAGGACCGAACCGACUAAUGUUGAAAAAUUAGCGGAUGACUUGUGGCUGGGGGUGAAAGGCCAAUCAAACCGGGAGAUAGCUGGUUCUCCCCGAAAGCUAUUUAGGUAGCGCCUCGUGAACUCAUCUCCGGGGGUAGAGCACUGUUUCGGCAAGGGGGUCAUCCCGACUUACCAACCCGAUGCAAACUGCGAAUACCGGAGAAUGUUAUCACGGGAGACACACGGCGGGUGCUAACGUCCGUCGUGAAGAGGGAAACAACCCAGACCGCCAGCUAAGGUCCCAAAGUCAUGGUUAAGUGGGAAACGAUGUGGGAAGGCCCAGACAGCCAGGAUGUUGGCUUAGAAGCAGCCAUCAUUUAAAGAAAGCGUAAUAGCUCACUGGUCGAGUCGGCCUGCGCGGAAGAUGUAACGGGGCUAAACCAUGCACCGAAGCUGCGGCAGCGACGCUGAUGCGUUGUUGGGUAGGGGAGCGUUCUGUAAGCCUGUGAAGGUGUGCUGUGAGGCAUGCUGGAGG